rnacentral:rRNA from 1 species
GACGAACGCUGGCGGCGUGCCUAAUACAUGCAAGUCGAACGCAGUGGGGACGGGUGAGUAACACGUGGGUAACCUCCCAUCAGAGGGGAUAACACUUGGAAACAGGUGCUAAACCGAUACUGAUGGAUGGACCCGCGGUGCAUUAGCUAGUUGGUGAGGUAACGGCCCACCAAGGCCACGAUGCAUAGCCUACCUGGGUGGGGGGUCGGCCACACAGGAACGGAGACGCGGCCCGGACUCCGACGGUAGGCAGCGGUGGGGAAUCUUCGGCAAGUGACGAGAGUCUUGCCGAGCAACGCCGCGUGAGUGAAAAAGGUUUUCGGAUCGUAAAACUCUGUUGUUUGUGAAGCGGUAUCUAACCAGAAAGCCACGGCUAACUACGUGCCAGCAGCCGCGGUAAUAC